rnacentral:snRNA from 1 species
AGGAGGUAAGACUGCCUGUGACACCCCAGUCACUCCACUGACUGCCAGGGAUCUGGCUGGAGAGGCAGGUGUCCCCUUCCUCCCCUACUGCUCUAAGUGCAUCCCUUCUGAAGCUGCAAGCUCAGCUGAAGAGGCUGAUAGGAUUAUUUCCUCAUCAAGGGUGUAUAGUAGCUGUGCUCCCCUUGAUAGAACUUCCAAACAAGCUCUCAAAAUGCAUCAAGUACCAAGUUUCAAAGCACUCAAGUACCAAGGCAUGAACUACUAGAAAAAAAUUU